GAACCGUGCGAACGUUGUUCGGAAUCACUGGGCUUAAAGGGCGCGUAGGCGGGCCCGCCAGUCCAGGGUGAAAGCCCCCGGCUCAACCGGGGAAGCGCCUUGGAUACUGCGGGCCUGGAGGGGGGUAGGGGCGUGCGGAACUUCCGGUGGAGCGGUGAAAUGCGUAGAUAUCGGAAGGAACACCGGUGGCGAAGGCGGCACGCUGGGCCCGCCCUGACGCUGAGGCGCGAAAGCCAGGGGAGCGAACGGGAUUAGAUACCCCGGUAGUCCUGGCCCUAAACGAUGGGCACUAGGUAGCGGCCCCCCAUGGGGCCGCUGCCGGAGCGAAGGUGUUAAGUGCCCCGCCUGGGGAGUAUGGUCGCAAGGCUGAA
rnacentral:rRNA from 1 species